rnacentral:rRNA from 1 species
GGCAUCCUACGGGAGGCAGCAGUGAGGAAUAUUGGUCAAUGGGCGGAAGCCUGAACCAGCCAAGUCGCGUGGGGGACUAAGGCCCUGCGGGUCGUAAACCUCUUUUGCCGGGGAGCAGUAGUCCGGACGCGUCCGGACCGGGCGAGUACCCGGAGAAAAAGCAUCGGCUAACUCCGUGCCAGCAGCCGCGGUAAUACGGAGGAUGCGAGCGUUAUCCGGAUUUAUUGGGUUUACAGGGUGCGUAGGCGGGCAUUUAAGCCGG